rnacentral:rRNA from 1 species
UACGUAGGUGGCAAGCGUUGUCCGGAUUUACUGGGCGUAAAGAGCGCGCAGGCGGUCGAGUAAGGCGAAUGUGAAAGCCCCCGGCUUAACUGGGGAGGGUCAUUCGAUACGGUUCGACUUGAAGGCAGGAGAGGGCAGCAGAAUUCCCGGUGUAGUGGUGAAAUGCGUAGAUAUCGGGAGGAAUACCAGUGGCGAAGGCGGCUGCCUGGCCUGUUCUUGACGCUGAGGCGCGAAAGCUGGGGGAGCAAACGGG